rnacentral:tRNA from 1 species
GCGGUAGUAGUUUCCCGCCUAUGGCGGGNNGCUUCCUUGCCAAGGAAGAGGUCGCCAGUUCGAGUCUGGUCUGCCGCUCCA